rnacentral:tmRNA from 1 species
GGGGAUGUAAAGGCUUCGACAUGGAGUGUUACGGCAAGAGCUGCGGGCCGGGAACGUCGAUGUACCCGUUAAACUAUCGGCAAACAUUUAAACGCAAACAAGAAAAAUCUGUUUGCUGUUCCUUCGCUGAAGAACACCGCCCGCGUGGCGGUUGCUGCUUAAGCAAAGGACGCCCUGCUGAGCUUCGGGCCACGGUCGUGAGGCAGGUCUUAAUAUAGUGGCUGCCUGGCUGGUUGACGCUGAUAAACUAGUCAGAAAGAUUUUCAGCUGGUCUGACGGCCCCUGUCUAUGGGGUAACCGGCAGACGAGACAAAUAACCAUAGACUACGUUCCGUAGACGCUUUUGUAGUGGGCUUCGUGGACGCGAGUUCGAUUCUCGCCAUCUCCAUUU